CAAUAGCGUAUAUUUAAGUUGUUGCAGUUAAAAAGCUCGUAGUCGGAUUUUGGCUGAGAACGAUCGGUCCGCCGUUAGGUGUGCACUGAUUGGUCUCAGCUUCCUGGUGAGGAGGUGUGCUUCACGGCCACUUAGUCACCGUGGUUACUUUGAAAAAAUUAGAGUGUCCAAAGCGGGCUUACGCUUGAAUAUAUUAGCAUGGAAUAACACCAUAGGACUCCUGUCCUAUUUCGUUGGUCACGGGACGGGAGUAAUGAUUAAGAGGAACAGUUGGGGGCAUUCGUAUUUCAUUGUCAGAGGUGAAAUUCUUGGAUUUAUGAAAGACGAACUUCUGCGAAAGCAUUUGCCAAGGAUGUUUUCAUUGA
rnacentral:rRNA from 1 species